rnacentral:rRNA from 1 species
GACGAACGCUGGCGGCGUGCCUAAUACAUGCAAGUUGAGCGCUGAAGGUUGGUACUUGUCCCAACUGGAUGAGCAGCGAACGGGUGAGUAACGCGUGGGGAAUCUGCCUUUGAGCGGGGGACAACAUUUGGAAACGAAUGCUAAUACCGCAUAAAAACUUUAAACACAAGUUUUAAGUUUGAAAGAUGCAAUUGCAUCACUCAAAGAUGAUCCCGCGUUGUAUUAGCUAGUUGGUGAGGUAAAGGCUCACCAAGGCGAUGAUACAUAGCCGACCUGAGAGGGUGAUCGGCCACAUUGGGACUGAGACACGGCCCAAACGCCUACGGGAGGCAGCAGGAGGGAAUCUUCGGCAAUGGACGAAAGUCUGACCGAGCAACGCCGCGUGAGUGAAGAAGGUUUUCGGAUCGUAAAACUCUGUUGGUAGAGAAGAACGUUGGUGAGAGUGGAAAGCUCAUCAAGUGACGGUAACUACCCAGAAAGGGACGGCUAACUACGUG